rnacentral:lncRNA from 1 species
AUGGAACAGGCACACACAGAAUCUCACCACAUACCAAACAUACUCCAUCAAUGUCACAUGCAGUAGGGUUUUACUUUUAUUUACUUAUUUUUUAUUUUUAUUUUAUUUUUUUUUGGGGGGGGGUUGGGAGUACUGCCAGCCUAGGGAACUAAUGAAAAAUGACCACAGCCAUUUCUGAAGGAUGUCAGACAAAAGGAAGGCAAUGCUGGCGGAUGUUGUCUGGUUUCAUUAUUGUAACUACUUGGAAACAGCCUCAGAUCUGAUGCCUGGGUUUUGAGUCAAGGAGCAUUGCUUGGAGUUGCUUGCUUACUUUGGGUAGCGUCACCUAAGACGGAUCCCAGGGCCUGGCUCGCACCUGCGCCUUUCACUGACUGAGCUGCCUCCCUAGCUCCACGUGCCGCCUUAGAGGUUGGAGGUCGUCUUGGCGUUGAUGGUUUCAGGGGCCACAUGGAGGAGGAAAAGGGGCGUUGAUGGUUUCGGGGGCCACAUGGAGGAGGAAAAGGGGCGUUGAUGGUUUCGGGGGCCACAUGGAGGAGGAAAAGGGGCGUUGAUGGUUUCGGGGGCCACAUGGAGGAGGAAAAGGGGCGUUGAUGGUUUCGGGGGCCACAUGGAGGAGGAAAAGGGGCGUUGAUGGUUUCGGGGGCCACAUGGAGGAGGAAAAGGGGCGUUGAUGGUUUCGGGGCCCACAUGGAGGAGGAAAAGGGGCGUUGAUGGUUUCGGGGCCCACAUGGAGGAGGAAAAGGCAGCUUCUUGGAGAAGAUCCUUGAACUCGCCCCUCAAGACGGGGGCUGGGGCAGGCAGGAAUUCCAGGUACAGUGAUCACAUGAACUAAAGUUUGGGAAACACAGCCCCCCUCCCGACCUCCCCACUGUGGGACAUUCCAGCCUUUCCAUGAGCCGUUCACUACAGGACAAAGAGUAAGGAGGCUGCUGCCUUCUUGUGCUGCUCUUGUACCAGGCUGAGUAGUUUGCUCUCCAUCUUGUAUUCCUGGGCAGUAAGCAGUGAAGGCCGUGUUGCCAACAGCCUCGAGGUCUGAGUAGAGCACGUUGCCCUGUGCCUGACAGGCCAGCUGGGCCUUCAGGGUCUCGCAGCUCUUCUCUGAGCACACACUUGCUGACCUUUCUUCAGUUCAUCAGCAGAACCAUUCGAAUUUACCAGAAAUUCACUUAAGAGUCUACUUUUCUUGGAAACUCAGUGUGUCCUUUGUUGAGAGAUGUCAUUUAUCACUUCCUGCCCCCACCCCCAACACCAAUCAUAGGAGUUUUCAAAGGGUGACUAGGUGGCAGUUUUGGUCCCUGAGUAUCAGGAGAACAGUGGCCUCUGGGGUUUUACACCCAAGGAUAUACUCUAAGUGCAGUAGGCGACAUGAAAAAUCAUACAGUGAAAGUUUCCAAAAUGAGCUAAGUGCACUCCAACCUCCCCUCCGCUGCCACCUCUGCCCCUCCAGUGGCUUCAGAAGGAGGGGUGUGGGCAGGGCACAGGCUCUCAUGGUUGCACACUCAGAAACUACCCCUUCACUCCUGAUCUUCUGAUGGAAGCCUCUAGUCUGGUGGCUGGCAGGACAGUUAGGGAGCUCUUCAGCACUCCAGGCUAUCUUUUUUUUGCUUUGUUUUAGUUUCUGUGGCCCCCCAAACUCACAGCCUUGGCCUCUGGCUGCUGAAGCAUGCACUAGCAUGCACCUCUGCUUGGCUCUAACCCCGAACUUGCAACUCUCCAGCCAAAUUGUUAUUCUUUAGUGGGAGAGUUCCUGUGGGGUAGAUGAGAAGUUGUCAGACUCACGAGUAUGGACGCGAUUUAACUCUGCCUCUCUUUUUAAACAGCCACAAGGAAAAGACUCAUGCAAGUGCUGGAGACCAACCCAUUCUUUACAAACGCUGAUCAUGAAGUCUUUCCAGGGCCCAGCCACCUGUCUGUACAGAUGCUCCAGGGAACCCUGGGUCACUCUGAACAUGUUUAUACACAGAGUGACAUGGCCCCCUCAAAUUCAGUUUAUUAUUAAAACACAAAGCAAGAGAAAGUUGAGGAGGAUCUGGAAGAAACUGGGGAAAGGAAAAUGAUGAAAAUAUAUUGUAUUUGUUGGUUUUGUUUGUUUUUUGAAAGAGGUUUUUCCCUAUACAGUCCCUGCUGUCCUGGAACUCUGUAGACCAGGCUAGCCUUGAAGUCAGAGAGAUCUGCUUGUUUCUACCUCUCAAGUAUUGGGAUUAAAGGUGUGCACAACCACCAGCCAGUAACUAAAAACCUGUUUAGGAAGUCAGCACACUGAGUUCUGCAUUGGGCCUCCAGACCACCAGGUAUUACAUAGUGGUGGGGAAACUGUGGGGAGAUUUAUUUUAUUUUAUUUCCCUUUCCCUAGAAAGAGGAAUAUGUCUGCUAUUGAUUCUUAACUGAAGAAAACCACUGUCUUUCCAGAAUAAACUUUAUUCCCCACUCGUGACAGGAAGGUGACUAACAUCUGCCACACAACCUGAUCUACACCAUCUCUCCACAUACACACUAAAAAUUGACACUCAAGUGAGGUAUAAACAUGUUUUUCUGGGGCUGGAGAGACAGCUUCAUGGUUGAGAGUCUAUACCAAGGGUCCAAGUUCAGUUCCCAGCAUCCAUGCUGAGUAGCGCACAGCUCCAGGAGAUCCAGUCCUCUGGUCUCUGAGGUAACCAGCCCUCACGAACAUACCUACCUACCCAUGCAGACACAUACACAUAGCUAAACAUAAAAUAGAUCUUUAAAAAUGCUUUUUCAUCAACUAUUUUAAUACUAAUGUACAGCAACAGUUCCCUGGGUUCCUCAAAGCUCCACUUAAUUAUUAUUAUUAUUACUACUACUACUACUACUACUAUUAUUAUUAUUAUAUGGGUAUGGGUAUUUUGGUUGAGUGUCUGUAUGUGCAUCACAUGUGUGCAGUGUCCGAGAGGGUCAGGGAGGUCAUCAUAUCACCUGGAACUAGAGUUACCCAUUUUUAUGAGGCACCGUAUGGGCACUGGGAAUUGAACCCAGGUCCUCUGCAAGACCCACAGUGUUCUUACAUGCUGAGUCAUCUCUUCAGCUCCUGAAACCCAAGUUGGGAACAGAUUUGUUCUUAGCAUUCUGGGGAGAGGAGGAGGAGGCGGAGGCGGAGGCGGAGGCGGAGGCGGAGGCGGAGGCGGAGGCGGAGGCGGAGUUUUCUCACCAGCGCUAACACCACACAUCUCUAGCUUGAGAGUUCAAAGUCUUGAGAUAGCAAGGAGCUGACACUUGAGAGUCAACUCUUUUGCAAGACUGGAAGCAGAAUGGGCAGAACCAAGCUGGCUACCCUGUGCAAUCAUCCUGUGUCGGAACACGGUCCAAGAAUGGAGUCAUGGGGGGUGGGGGGAGAAAACUCCAACCAGACAAGAGACAAUUGCUCUUGGAAUGGGCUUUCAUGCCCCGCCCAGGUGUAGCAGAUUGGAGUGAGUUUGCUUCAGAUUAUUCACUGCAGUUGGCUAUCGUUUGCUUAUCGAUCGUUUGCCUCUAUGGAAAUGCAUGUUGCUUCCCCAUGCAGCUUGUCCCUUUGAUUAUAUACAGCUUGAACUCAUGAGAACUUUACACAGGUGACCUUUCUUACCCCUCAGGGUAUAAACUGCCAGAUGCCCCGAAUAAAGAUGGCUGUGAAUGAGGCAUUCGUCCACCUCAUUUUUAGGAUCUAUUCUCCCAGGACCUACCUCCUCUAGAGUGGUAAACCAUCCCGGGUGGGGGAUGGGCUUCAUCAAAACACAGUGUAUGAGAGUGUAAAGUUCUCAAACAAUAAAGAAAACGUUUGCAGUGGUUUUC